UGAAGAUACAUGUGCAACUUGAAUGCAAGGAUAACAGAGCACUGCGCUGAGAUUCUUUAACUGACAGGUGUCUGCUUCAUUAGAUAUCUGCAUAAUAAACUGUAGCAGUUACCAUAAUUCCAUCAGAGAAUUAAUGUGCUGAGAGUUGGAGAUUCUUUGGACCCUGGAGAAAAUUUCUUCAAUCUACAGUAGUGGCAAAUGGAGAAGUCGUAAGGGAGAUAUCUGCAGUGCUACUGCCUGUACUCUAUUUCUCAAUGGUCAACGUGGUUCAAUUUCCAGCUAGGACAUAAUUUGCACAAUAACCUGAAGUUGAAAUUAAUACUAAGAAACAAGCUGUACUGUGUGUAAGAAAAAUCCAUUAAGCUGUCUGCAUUAGAGGAAGAAGCUGACCAAUGGAGUUGAAGCAAAUGUGUUAUACCGUAAGAAGAAAGGUUCAGACAAAUAUCACAGGAACCAGGAUGACACUCCAAUAAGGGGGCAGCAGAGGGGCAGUCUGACAAAAUGGCAUAUGACAUGGAAGUGCAUAUGAAGCAAAGCCAAAAUAUGAGCACCAGGUCUGCACCCUGAGAGAAGUGCACAUCCUGAAGUUCUUCCUCCAAAGAUCUACUGCCUUGUUGUAGUUGCAAGCCACAACAGAAACAAAGGAUAUAUUAAUCUACUAAGGAAUAAGAAUUUUAAGAAAACAUGGAGAAUCCAGAACUACAUGCAGUUCAUACAAUGAAUGAUGACUAAAGUUUGGCAAUCAC
rnacentral:lncRNA from 1 species